rnacentral:rRNA from 1 species
GAUGAACGCUGGCGGCGUGCCUAACACAUGCAAGUCGAGCGAAGCACUUUGCUUGGAUUCUUCGGAUGAAGAGGAUUGUGACUGAGCGGCGGACGGGUGAGUAACACGUAGGUAACCUGCCCCGGAGCGGGGGAUAACAUUUGGAAACAGAUGCUAAUACCGCAUAACAACAAAAACCACAUGGCUUUUGUUUGAAAGAUGGCUUUGGCUAUCACUCUGGGAUGGACCUGCGGUGCAUUAGCUAGUUGGUAAGGUAACGGCUUACCAAGGCAAUGACUGCAUAGCCGAGUUGAGAGACUGAUCGGUCACAAUGGAACUGAGACACGGUCCAU